AUGAGUGCCAUUUUUGGGCGGUGGUAUGAGUUCUAUAAGGAAACAUUUUUCAGACUUGGAAAUUCCGUUGCAAGACACAAGAUGCAGCUAUGGAAAAUGGUUCUUCUCAAUUUUUACAGAGUUGCUGUUUUGACGGAGUAAUUUAACAUCAAAAGUUACAUCUUUUUGUUCUUUUUUUGUACUACAUAAUAUAACAUGAUGUGGUUGUAAACAUCACUUGAACGGUGCUACUUUAUUUGUUCACUGUGAAUGGUUGUUUAUUUUGUCUAUAACUAUAUCAUUUUUUUUUUACCUUAGGUUUGAUUCUCUCUAUUUUCAUGGGUAAUUUAAGACACUAUAUUUUUGUCAUCUAUCCAUGAAGAGCUAAAUACUAUUCCUUG
rnacentral:lncRNA from 1 species